rnacentral:tRNA from 1 species
GGCAAGGUACGCAAACAGGCAAAGCGGCGAAACUCAAACCUACGUGACUUUGUGGGUUCGACCCCCACCCUUGCCA